CUGACCACAACAUUUUUGAAACUGGAACCAAUUUCUCUUAUAUCCGUAAUUUUCUUCGGAUGUUUAAUGGGUCUUCAGUUUAUUGGUAUGCUUAUGCACAGAUUUACCAUAUUCUGUCAGAUUUUGUCAAAUACAUCGGUUCGAAUUGGCCGUUUCCAAAAAUCGAAAAAUAAGCAAACCGACGAAGUAUUAUUAGAAAAAGAUCCCGUAAGGAUGGUUAAAAAGCUUAUCCAAUUAAGAGACGUCAAAAAAGAAAAAGAUAUAGAAAGGAGAAACACUAGUAUCGAAAGGGUCAAAGAUGGUGUCAAAUCUGAUGAAGCUACAACUACAGACUUAACACAUGCCUUCAGUAGACGGUUAGCCAAAUUUAGAAGCUACGGUACAAACCUAUAAAGAAUAAAAGGUAACGACGCAACUGGAAGAAAAUCGAUUGUUUUUGAGAUUAACAAAUACAGAUCGACCAUAGCCCAUCUGAAUAGUCGUUCAGUAACUUCGGGAAAUGUAAGAUCGCGUCAUACCCAUGUCAAUUUUGGUUAGUAAUCAGAAGGUGAAACAGUUAAACAAGUAAAUUGUCAAUUUUAUAUGUACUGCCCGAACUAAAUAAUUUAUGCGCCAAGACAUAAAUGUCAAUAUAAUGCUUUUAUUUAUUAUCUGCACAUAUAUGUACCUACACUACGAUUCAAGAAAUUUAAAAAAAUUAUAGCAGAAAUUCUGCAAAACAGUUGCCUUAUACUUUUUUAUUUAAGUUUGUACCGUUAUAAGA